rnacentral:rRNA from 1 species
UCCUCAUUUUAUAAUAUGAGGUAUGGCCUGCUCAAUGCGAUUGAACGUAAAUAGCCGCAGUAUUUUGACUGUGCGAAGGUAGCAUAAUAAAUUGGCCUUUGAUUGAGGUCUGGAAUGAAUGGCUUGACAAGGAUUUGACUGUCUUGAAGUUAAUUUUUUGAAAUUGAAUUGUUUGUUAAAAUGCAAACAUGAAAGAGAGGGACGAGAAGACCCUAUAGAUCUUUUAAAGGAUAGUUAAAGGAUAUAUUUUAAUUGUCUUUUUUAUUUGGGGAGAAUCCUGAAAUAAGUUUGAAAUAAAACUUCGGUUAAAAAAUUUUUAAAAAUUAAAAUAAUUAAGUUUUGAUCCACUAAAAGUGAAAAAAUGAAAAAGUUACCUUAGGGAUAACAGGACAAUGAUUUUCUAUUAGAGAUCUUAUCUUAGAAGACGUUUGUUACCUCGAUGUUGAAUUAAGUUAUCUGAUUAAAGAAGGAGUUCUUAAAGUUGGUCUGUUCGACCAUUGAAAAC